rnacentral:rRNA from 1 species
GAUGAACGCUGGCGGCGUGCCUAAUACAUGCAAGUCGAGCGAACGGACGAGAAGCUUGCUUCUCUGAUGUUAGCGGCGGACGGAUGAGUAACACGUGGAUAACCUGCCUAUAAGACUGGGAUAACUUCGGGAAACCGGAGCUAAUACCGGAUAAUAUUUUGAACCGCAUGGUUCAAAAGUGAAAGACGGUCUUGCUGUCACUGAUAGAUGGAUCCGCGCUGCAUUAGCUAGUUGGUAAGGUAACGGCUUACCAAGGCAACGAUGCAUAGCCGACCUGAGAGGGUGAUCGGCCACACUGGAACUGAGACACGGUCCAGACUCCUACGGGAGGCAGCAGUAGGGAAUCUUCCGCAAUGGGCGAAAGCCUGACGGAGCAACGCCGCGUGAGUGAUGAAGGUCUUCGGAUCGUAAAACUCUGUUAUUAGGGAAGAACAUAUGUGUAAGUAACUGUGCACAUCUUGACGGUACCUAAUCAGAAAGCCACGGCUAACUACGUG